GAUGAACGCUGGCGGCGUGCCUAAUACAUGCAAGUCGAGCGAACAGACGAGAGUGUUUGCUCUCUCUGACGUUCGCGGCGGACGGGUGAGUCACACGUGGGUCACCUAUCUAUAAGACUGGUAUCACUUCGGGACCCCGGCGCUAAUACCGGAUAAUUUUUAGCUUCGUAUGAAGCAAUAGUGAAAGACGGUUGUGGUGUCUCAUAUAGAUGGACCCGCGGUGUAUUAGCUAGUUGGUGAGGUAACGGCUCACCAAGGCAACGAUACAUAGCCGACCUGAGAGGGUGAUCGGCCACACUGGGACUGAGACACGGCCCAGACUCCUACGGGAGGCAGCAGUAGGGAAUCUUCCGCAAUGGGCGAAAGUCUGACGGAGCAAUGCCGCGUGAGUGAAGAAGGUUUUCGGAUCGUAAAACUCUGUUGUAAGGGAAGAACAAAUACGUAAGUAACUGAACAUACCUUGACGGUACCUUACCAGAAAGCCACAGCUAACUACGUG
rnacentral:rRNA from 1 species